GAAAAUGAAGGUUUAGCACAAUCACAUGCAUCUGAAAAGAGAAGCCCAGAGUUAUCAAAGGCCAAAUCUGACAUUGCAAAGUCAAUUGCCAAGAAUCUUUUGAAGACAAGAAAAGUCAUUGAUACUUAUGAGGUUCAGAAGAGAAAGCUAAGGAAGAAGAACAAGAGUAUAUCAGAAAGCAGCAAAGUAUCUGAAAAUGAUGCUAAGAAGCAGAAUUCAAGGAAAGACAACCCACAAAAAGAUGCUACCAUCAGUAUGGUGCAUGCAGAGAAAAACCAGAAGAUCCAACAGAAAGAAGAAAAUACAUAUCGGUUAGGUAGCAAGGAACAGAGUAAUAGAUUAAAUGGAACUACCAAAAUACGAAGAAGGGGGCUAGUCUUUUCAAUAAAAACCAGAAGAAUGAAGAAAAGCAGAGAGGUAAGAGAAAUAGAAAAUGGAACGAGCAGAUGGAAAAGUAGAAGAGUUUAGAGAUGAAUAACAAGAAAAAUGAAAAGGGUGAUGGCAAGGGAAAGGAGCAAGAAAAUAAAAUGAAAGAAAAGAUUGAGGGUCUAAUAUUUCUGUGCAGUGCAAGGACCAAGCACAUUGUUUCCGGUACCGUGUAAUGGGGGUAUCAAAUGAUAAAAAAGAUCUCGUGUUGGGUAUCAGACAAGGGUUUAAGCUUUUUCUCUAUGAUUACGAUAUCAAUCUUAUAUAUGGGGUUUAUAAAGCAUCCUCUUCGGGUGGAAUAAAACUUGAGCUUGAGGCUUUUGGUGGGGCUUUCCCUGCACAUGUGCGGUUCAGUGUCCAUGCUGAUUGUUUUCCUCUGGCGGAGAGUAUUUUCAAGAAGGCAAUCAAGGAAAAUUAUAACAAUAAACAACAGAUUUAAAACCAAACUUACUGCUAGACAAGUUUGGAAACGAACUAAACUGUUUCAACCUGUUUCAGUUCAUUCAAGUGUACUGCCUGUCUACUCUCCUCCAUCAAGGGUAGCGGGUCGAAUACUCGAACACCCUGAAAAUAGGGAACCACAUGAUAGACCAAGAGAAUUAAACAUCUGCUAGAGACCCUUAUGCCAUCAGUCCCAGAAGCUAUCCUGUUUUAUCUCAUGGAAGGGACCAGGAAAUUGCGUAUGGGGGGUUGCCACCUAUUCGGAGAGAGGACAUUCAUCGUGAUUUAUACCUUAAUGAGAAUGAUUAUGGAGCUUACGAUUUUCGGGGAGAGAGAAGAUACACAAGCUUUCAGCGUCAUAUGACUCCUAGAUUAGGAUCUUACCAUGAGAUUACAAGGAGCAGCCUCUAUGUCAUCCGGACGUGGUAUACAGGGGAUCUGUGCCUAUGAGGAGAUAUAUAAUUCUCUCUGAUCCUCUUUACUCGAACGAGAGAGUAUCGGACUUACGGUAUGGGUGCUACACAAGAAAUGCAAUCAUUUGUUUUUGCAACAACUGCAAACACAUCUCUUGCUGGUGCAUUGACUUUGGAUUCCUAUGCUACAGACCCAUAUUGUAGUAGCUACUAUGGUGCGCCAUUGUUUGACUCUUACCUGCCACAUUCAAGCAGAGACGCACACUUGAUUGAGAUGGAUCAUUUGAGGAG